GCUGGGCGAUUUUGUGUCGCCGCAAUUAAGCUCCACCGAGGCCAACGUGACAACAGGACACCAUCGGUUUAAUCGGCUCACAUGGGAGCGAGGCAGUGACCUCACCGCAGUGACCUCACCGCAGUGAUGUCAUCAAGGUGAGUCCGAUGUCUCAGAAAUUGUUUUGAAGGACGUCUGUACACCUGUGGCAUGUUGCAAUGCAGCCAAUUCUAUGCAUCCCGAAUCCGCUCACAUAAUCCGUGUGAGAAGACUUUCCUUUCUUCAGAUGUUGUGGUUGUUGGCAUGAAAAAAAAUAAUCCAAUACAGACAGACAGAAAAAGGAUUCCUUUCUAACAAGAUCACCCUUCGUUUUUGUUUUUUUUUUGUCUUUUGAUUGAGUAAUUUUUGAACUUACCUGAUAUUUCUAAGCAUUUCUAGCCCAUCUGAAUAUUUUUGUCUAAAACAAACAGACAAACCUAAAGCUUAUCUCUAAGGCAUACUGUUCACCGAAACACUCAACCUGCUACAAGGGUCAUUAAUGCCGAGACUAAACUGACAGAUAAUUAACCGUCACACUAAGACAGGAAAUGUAUUGUGUUUUUGUCAGACAGUCAGAUGUUUUUUCUGCUAUGUGCAAACAGAGAUGCUAUCAGACAUUACGCACACAUUCAUGUGACGUUACGUCUGUGUGUGUGUGUAUAUAUGAAUUAUUGACUGUAAACGGUGGGUUUCUGUUGCAAAAAAGCCAGAAGGUUCCUACCAGAAACUGUUACUUAUUAGCCAGAGCCUGUGUCGCGCUGUUAGAGGGAUUCUUUGUAGGUGACAUCACAGGUGCUGGACACAGCGAGGGGGAGAGACGCAUUCACAACUUCAGACUGCAGGAGGAUCAGAGGACAGUGAACAACGGCUGGAUUGAGUGCAGCUUCAAGAAGAGGAAGGAGCAAGACUUGCAACCCUGAAGGGCAACCCUCUAGCAGCUUCAGAAGAGCUGGAAGAAGAAAGGAAAGACAUUUUGGUAUUUAUUGGAAGGUAGAGAAAGGAACCUUCCUGCAGAAGAUAUACCGGGAAAUUCCCUCCAAUCGAGCAAACCGCCACUCAGAUCAAAGUAAGUGCUUUAAUGUUUUUGGCUGUGCAAACCAAUUCAACAGUUACGAGUGAAGCCACCUGCAUAUUAAGAUUAGACAAGAACAGUGGAUGAAGGGAAAAAGGCCAUGAAGAACCAUGUACAAUUAUAAACACAAAAUCAAAAACUGUCAUUUUGGACCCACCACGAUGAAAAUGGUGUUUUUAACAUAUUCUUGUUGCAUUUUUCUGAUGAUGGAGGACAUACAAUAUAUAAAGUAAAUUAAGCUCAAAAUUGUAUUUCUGAGUAUUUCUUUUUUCAAAUUGUUGUGAAUUAGGAACAGAUGAGAAAAGGCUGUUUGAAAAGAGCUUAUUAAAGAAAAUAUGCUGGGUGGAUCAUAAACUCCCUGCUCUGCUUAAGAGAGAGCUCUCAGCAACAGGGAGGGGCGGGGGUUAGUCUUCUCCAACAUUCCCCCUCACAACUCAGUUGUAUAGUUGAUAGUGUAACUCAGUUACACUAUCAUUAAAAAUUUCAACAAUUAAAACCGUUAAAUAU
rnacentral:lncRNA from 1 species